UACGAAGGGUGCGAGCGUUAAUCGGAAUUACUGGCGUAAAGAGCACGUAGGCGGUUUGAUAAGCGGAAUGUGAAAGCCCCGGGCUUAACCUGGGAACUGCAUCCCGAACUGUCAGGCCAGAGUAUGAUAGAGGUGAGCGGAAUUUCCUGUGUAGUGGUGAAAUGCGUAGAUAUAGGAAGGAACAUCAGUUGCGAAGGCGGCUCACUGGAUCAAUACUGACGCUGAGGUGCGAAA
rnacentral:rRNA from 1 species